GAACAGCAGAACUAAUGUAAACCUGUUUCAGCUGCUUGAUGUUAAUGCCUGAAGGGAAGUGAGAUGCACAGUGCAUGUGGAACUGGUGGCAGUGAAUACAGGCAGGCUUUCAGAGGUACAAAGCACAAAGGCACUGUAUGUUCCAGUGGUUCAGUACAAGCAAAAACUGAUCCUAAAUAUCCAAAAAAUUAGAUGUUGAGAAAAUCCACAGGAAACCUGGCUGUUUACAGCCUUAAACUCUGUUUGACCAAAAAUGGGAAUGGCUCCAUCUAUAACCAACUCUGAAGUGUUCAAGAUUUAAGCUUUGUGGCCUUUGCAAGCUGAACAAAUUCCAUGAGAAGUCUUGUCCUCUGAGUCUGAUGUGAUUUUUCUCUACAAUUUUUUCCUCUUUAUUCGGCUUUUUCUCACCCUGCCCUCUACUGUCACAUAGUUCCACUUGCACUUGUGCCUAUGUGGCAAACAUAAAACUUCUGGAGUCCUUAUGACAGUGUGUAUUAAAACAAGUCCAUGUGGGAUUUAGUAAUGAAAAACAUUGUUAUUAAUGAUGUAAAUUAUAAAGUCCCGUUGUGUUCCACUGCUAGCUGCUGAAGAUUGUCCACACACAACUGGGUACCUUCCAAACCUAUUGCUAUGGAAAUGUCAUACUGCUUUAAUAGACUGUUCAGGAAGAAGAAAUAUUUUACUUUUGAAUCCAAAUCUCCAUUCUCUAGUAUUCCCAAAUGCAAAAACUUGCUUCAGUUUUUUGGCACUCCUACAUCUUCUCUAAUUUUUCUCUUUUAUGCCUGGAAUAUUCUACUGUUUCUGUAUGUCAGAUCUUCACUCUUUCUGAGAGGAUACUUCUGGAGACCCAGACAUGAUAUGGAAUUAAUACAGUGUGCAUCAGAUGUGUAAUCUUUGUGCUGACUCUUUCUGUAUAGUUUGCUUUUCUGUAAGCUGGUCAAGUGAACAGUUCUGUUAAAGAUAGCAAAGUGAACCUAUGUAUGUAUGUACUCUCUCACACAAGCCAGACUGUAGAUGGGACUUCCUCCACCAGCAAGUUUUGUUGGUGGUAAACGAAUAACCUCCAUGCUCCACUUUUUGAAUUUCCAAAAAUUCUGUCUCUACCUGACUUGACAUUUAUUGAUUGAAUGGACUGGUUUAUUUAAGGACAGGCUGUAUUUUAAAAUGGGCUCAAUCUGAAUCCUUGGUAAUUGUAAGUAUAGAUUCUCUUCAUAAUAGAAACACAUCAGAUUUCUCUAUUCCCUGCUGCGCAUGCAUAGCUUUCAUUCUGAGAUAUAAAUAAAUGUACUGUGCAGGAAAAA